rnacentral:lncRNA from 10 species
AAAAAGAAAAAGAAAAGAAAGGCAGAAGAGAAGAUACUCAGAAACGAGUUUCCAAGACACAGAUCUGUGUUGUACUUCUGAUGCACAUGCAUUUCUCCUCAGUGGAUCAGCUUCACCAGGAACUUCAUCUGCAGCAUCCUCACCAUUAAAAAAAGAACAGCCCUUAUUUACUCUAUGGCAGGUUGGAAUGAUCUGUGAACAUUAGUUGAAAGAACAUGAAGAGAAAGUUUGGGAAGAACAUGAAGAAUAUUGAACACAAAACUUGCAGAACAAUAAUGAUGCAUCUGUGAAAUUUACACAUGAUCAAAUAAUGUGAUGAUAUGGAGAAGAGCCUGCUAGUUAUGUUUCAUGA